GCCCCCUUGGCGAAAUCGGUAGCCGCACCGAACUUAAAAUUCGGAGCCCUCGGGCGUGCCGGUUCGAGUCCGGCAGGGGGCA
rnacentral:tRNA from 1 species